GGCACAAUAGUGUCGGGCCUGACGACCCCGCUCCCCCGAGUCGCCCAACGGAGUUUGGCUCAACUCUAAAAAGAAAAUAAGCCGA
rfam:Aedes flavivirus genomic RNA, complete genome, strain: Narita-21